GUCACUUCCUGUCAGAGGGCGGGGGGGGGCCCGCAAGAGGAGGAAGCCAUUUUGGAUUUAGGUUUCUCAGCGGCGUCUUAGUGCUUGGUUUUGAGGAAGUGAAACUGUGAGAGGACGGCCGGCAGCUUUUAUUUUCUGAGUUUCAGAAACGUUUGGAGACGUUUGGAGAGAGAAGCUUCAGAUGUUUUCGUCCUGAAGCUGUGGUUUCACUUCAGAUUCAAGAUGAGCGGAGAGCGAGUGCCGAGUCGAGCCGAGGUGACGGGAUGGAGCCCUCAGCAACUGGCAGAGUACCUGACCCGGAUGAGUCUGAGCGGCUGUGAUAAAGUGGUGUUGAAGAACUCCAUCAGCGGCUCCAGAUUUGUGAAUCUGAGCGAGAGCGAUCUGCAGAAGUUCCCCAAACUCUACGCUCCGUAAGUACAAAC